rnacentral:rRNA from 1 species
AGUGAACGUUGGCGGUAGGCCUAACACAUGCAAGUCGAACGGCAGCACAGUAAGAGCUUGCUCUUACGGGUGGCGAGUGGCGGACGGGUGAGGAAUACAUCGGAAUCUACUCUGUCGUGGGGGAUAACGUAGGGAAACUUACGCUAAUACCGCAUACGACCUAAGGGUGAAAGUGGGGGACCGCAAGGCCUCACGCGAUUGAAUGAGCCGAUGUCGGAUUAGCUAGUUGGCGGGGUAAAGGCCCACCAAGGCGACGAUCCGUAGCUGGUCUGAGAGGAUGAUCAGCCACACUGGAACUGAGACACGGUCCAGACUCCUACGGGAGGCAGCAGUGGGGAAUAUUGGACAAUGGGCGCAAGCCUGAUCCAGCCAUACCGCGUGAGUGAAGAAGGCCCUCGGGUUGUAAAGCUCUUUUGUUGGGAAAGAAAUCCUGUUGGUUAAUACCUGGCAGGGAUGACGGUACCCAAAGAAUAAGCACCGGCUAACUUCGUGCCAGCCGCCGCGGUAAUAC